rnacentral:rRNA from 1 species
UACAGAGGUCCCAAGCGUUGUUCGGAUUUACUGGGCGUAAAGGGUGCGUAGGCGGUCGGGUAAGUCUGGCGUGAAAUCUCCAAGCCUAACUUGGAAACUGCGUUGGAUACUAUCCGGCUCGAGGAAUGGAGGGGAGACUGGAAUACUUGGUGUAGCAGUGAAAUGCGUAGAUAUCAAGUGGAACACCAGUGGCGAAGGCGGCGACCUGGACGGACACUGACGCUGAGACGCGAAAGCGUGGGGAGCAAACAGG